CCUACGGGAGGCAGCAGUGGGGAAUAUUGCACAAUGGGGGAAACCCUGAUGCAGCGACGCCGCGUGAAGGAAGAAGUAUUUCGGUAUGUAAACUUCUAUCAGCAGGGAAGAAAAUGACGGUACCUGACUAAGAAGCCCCGGCUAACUACGUGCCAGCAGCCGCGGUAAUACGUAGGGGGCAAGCGUUAUCCGGAUUUACUGGGUGUAAAGGGAGCGUAGGCGGCGAUGCAAGUCAGAAGUGAAAGCCCGGGGCGCAACUCCGGGACUGCAUUUGAAACUGGGUUGCUUGAUUGCAGGAGAGGUAAGUGGAAUUCCUAGUGUAGCGGUGAAAUGCGUAGAUAUUAGGAGGAACACCAGUGGCGAAGGCGGCUUACUGGACUGUAAAUGACGCUGAGGCUCGAAAGCGUGGGGAGCAAACAGGAUUAGAUACCCGAGUAGUC
rnacentral:rRNA from 1 species